CAGUCGCCGCGGUAAUACGUAGGUCCCGAGCGUUGUCCGGAUUCAUUGGGCGUAAAGCGAGCGCAGGCGGUUAGAUAAGUCUGAAGUUAAAGGCUGUGGCUUAACCAUAGUAUGCUUUGGAAACUGUUUAACUUGAGUGCAGAAGGGGAGAGUGGAAUUCCAUGUGUAGCGGUGAAAUGCGUAGAUAUAUGGAGGAACACCGGUGGCGAAAGCGGCUCUCUGGUCUGUAACUGACGCUGAGGCUCGAAAGCGUGGGGAGCAAACAGGAUUAGAUACCCCCGUAGUCCCUGUCUCUUAUACA
rnacentral:rRNA from 1 species